UACAGAGGUCUCAAGCGUUUGUUCGGAUUCAUUGGGCGUAAAGGGUGCGUAGGUGGCGCCGUAAGUCGGGUGUGAAAUUUCGGAGCUUAACUCCGAAACUGCAUUCGAUACUGCGGUGCUUGAGGACUGGAGAGGAGACUGGAAUUCAUGGUGUAGCAGUGAAAUGCGCAGAUAUCAGGAGGAACACCGGUGGCGAAGGCGGGUCUCUGGGCCGAUAUUGACGCUGAGGAGCGAAAGCGUGGGGAGCAAACAGG
rnacentral:rRNA from 1 species